GAGCUCUUAUUUGCAGCUGUUAUGUUUCAAAGCCUCUGGUUACUUUUCCCUGAAUCUGGAGUGACCUUCUCUCAAAGGGUCCAGCUGGAAUGGGGUCUCCGAGAGCCUCCCCAGGAGAUUGACUGAGAAGGAUUUUGGGGCCGAAAAAGCAGGAGCUGGUUAUGGCUGAGGGCAGAUCCCAAUGUUGGCUGUCCUGCGAGUUUUCGGGGCUUUGGAACAUGCCUGCAUCCAAUCACGAGGAAUGUUGGGGUGCUAGAGGGCUGCAUUCUAUGUGGGCUCCUGCCCGUCUCCUGGAGCCACCUGGGAAAAGUCUCCUCCUUCCCCCACAUGACUGCUGUGGUUUAGAGACACCAAGAAGAGUGCCUUCUUCUCCCAUCUCCUGACGCUGCCCACACCUGACUUCCAGUCUACCUGUCCUCACUCUGGACCUGUCUGUACUAAGGAACCACUAAGGAGCUUAGCGGACACACCGAGGCCUUGGGGCCAGUCUCAGACCAUUUUGUUUACUUGUGCUGGGGUGUGGUCUGGGCCUUGGGGGGUUUUAAAGCUUGCCAGGGGAUCUGAUGUGCAGACAACCACCACCCUGGAGUCUCUGUAGAGGUCUCAUCCCACUGGGAAGGUGGGGCUGGAACCAGAGCAUGGGGCCUUGGUGUGGCUUGUGUUGGCACCUUAGCAUCCUGGCUGUCUUCCUGAUUUCUACCAGUGACCUUCGAGGCUGUAUCUGCAUCAGACAACCCAGGCAGAUUACCGGCCCCCGCUCUGUGUCAUAGGCUGGAUGCAAAGCAAGGCAAGACUUAAAUGUGAGGACUCGAACUCCCUUUCAGUCCAUCUUCUCCACCCACGGAGCUCUUUCUUCCCUGCUGGCUUUAUCACGAACAGACCAGCUCUCUCUGCAGAUGUGGCCCAUUAUCAGAGUUGAUCGGCAACUCUGGGCCAUCCCUGAGAUCACUAGGAAAACUAGGAAGAGAUGGUCUGAGGCUGAAGGCCAGGCUGACACUGAUCUCAUUUCUCUCUCCCAGCGUGCUCAUCCAGUUGUCACAAUUUCUCCUAAACCGAUAAGUGCCUGGUGUCUGGUCUGCAAGGCGACAUUCACACGUGGCCCAAUACCUGGCUGAAGUCAGGGUUGGCAACACUCCGUGAACUUUCUGUGUGGUUUCAGAGUGUUCACAAGUUAUCUGCUUUAACAUUCCUGCAUGCUGCAGGACAUCAAUCCCAAGAUAACUGGUUACUGAGAAGGGAAUCUUACCCCCCAAAAUCACACAUUAGAGUCAGAAAGUUCCUGAGAGAUGGAUUGGACCAGUGGUUUUUAAACUGCACCAGAAAUCCCAAGUGUAGCUCAGGGUCAUGAAAGCAGUGAGGGUGGCUGUCACGAAAGUCCUGUCUCCUGUGUCAAUCCUAACAGCUGCUCUGCCGUCUGUGUUUAAUGGAGAGUGGGGUCCUAUGUGGAAACUCCAUUAAAAAGUGGAUGCUGGGGCUGGGAUUGUGGCUCAGUGGUAGAGUGCUCGCCUAGCACAGGCAGGACCCGGGUUCUAUCCU